GUUAGAUUGAAACCUGAGGUUAAAAAUUGAAGGAAAAAGGGUAGAGGAGAGAAAAAGCAGAGAACCCAAAAACAAAAACUUCUCCAUCUCUCUAGGGUUUCUUCCAAAUUUCCAACUUUCUCUUGUUUUUCACAUUUUUGGUUACAUUUAAGCACUGACCCAUAAAAGAGAGAUCACCUUGUUUUCUGAGAGAAGGAGAAGAAGUGAAAAGAGUAGCAUAUAUACAAAUACAUAAGCUUUAGAUAAUAUUGACAUAUAUAUUUAUAUAGAAAUAAAG
rnacentral:misc_RNA from 1 species